UCGAAAGGUCGCCAUGGCAGUGGCGACACUCUCCUCCAUACUGCGAACAUCUUCAUUGAAGGCGUUAAAGGUAUCGGCCAUCUCGGUGUACCUUUCUCCCACCUUCGAUAGAAUGUCCUCCAACAGCGCAAGGCGGUCCUCGACCGACGCGGAAUCCUUCGUGAUUCGCGUGUCCUUGCCCUUGCCCCGCUUGGAGGGUUGCUUGGAGG
rnacentral:lncRNA from 1 species